UAUUUAAAAGAAAGUCCACCUCGACUGCUUAAUUCACAAGUAUUUUCUUCUCCUUGGUAUCAAGUUUCGCUUGCGAGAAUUCACCUUUAGCAUUUAGAUAAUACAUAAAUCAACACCCUUUUCAAAUAAGUAAAUAAAAUGCAUGCAUCCUAUGUCUCCAAUUAUUUUCCCCAUUCAAGAUUAUAAAUUUUUCCCAAUCAGAGGCUUAGAUGUUUUCGAUUAAUUUCGGCUGCUCACGCCCCAACCAAAAUAUUAAGGAAUAAUUAAACAAGAAAAUAAGGAGUACUCCCCUUCAUCAUACUUUUACACGUACCCUCUUCCACCUUACUUUAAAAUAUGUAAACUCUUUUAGAGAAAUAAAACAAAGAUGCAAAAUCAUCUCAUUCCAAUACCAUUCCGAAACACACGUACUCUACUCCCUCAUAUGCCCCUUUUUUAUAAAAUCAUCAAAUAUAUAUAGUAUCAAAGAAAACCUCUCCUUCUCUCCAGAAAGAAUUUCCGUCGGCUAUCUCAAAAUCAAAACACAACAUUGAACAGGAAUUAGAGCUCCCUCCUUCAAGCUCUUGUCGAUCCCUUUUUCUCACACAACAUCGAAAACGAGAUUCCCAAAAUUGAACACACCCAAUUUUCUAAAAAAAAUCCGUCAGAUCAGAUGGUGGUGCGGUGACACCGCCGAUGAGCUCCGCCGCCGGCAGCCUUCAAUCACCACUGUUGUUCGCCGCCGUCCCAAGGUACUUCAUCGUGGCCUCUGUUUGGCAGCCCCGUUUCGCCUCGACCAACCCCGCAAGUUAAGUUGUAAAUUUGAUUUCAUGAAUUAAAGUUCGAUUCUUUGGUUUAGAUUUGUUCGAAUUAUCAAUUUGCUUCGGUUACUGGUUUCAUGAGAUGCACAAGAAUGGAAAUAGGAAUUGGGUGGAUGAGGUAUACCUUCAACAAUAGAUGGUCUAUGGAUUUGCUUUUAGUGACUUCUGUUUCUUCCUCUCUGUAUUUGGAUUACUGAUUUCUCUGCAGAUGAGGAAUCAAAACUCUUGCUUCAACACUUUGCCUUCGAUUGAGAAUUGAGAGAAGGCGGCUGGAGGAGCAGAAUGGGUUAGAAAUACCGUGUCUUGCAGAAGAAAAUGUGAUCACGGAGGAGGAGAGAAAAAAAUCUCUCCAGAAUAUUUAUUUAAAAUUUGAACUAAGGAAAGUCUUGGUGACCAAGUCAAGGAGGAAAAGAUUUAAUUAAAUUAGUUUGAUUCACGGUCCUUUGUAUUUUAUUUAAAUUGUGCAGCCUACAAUUUAUUUCCCACAAGACUAGAUUUUUGUAUUAUAUAUAUUCAAUUUAUCGGAUCCAACACGAAAUUGAGUCCAAUAAAUAUUCCUCACUGAAAGAAAUUAUUUAGUUUCA